rnacentral:tRNA from 1 species
GCCGCGGUGGCGGAACCUGGUAUACGCGCACGACUUAAAAUCGUGUCCCGCGAGGGGUGUGGGUUCGAUCCCCACCCGCGGCA